rnacentral:ncRNA from 1 species
AAAUAGGGAGCGUUGAAGCCUGUCCUUUAUGUGGGCACUUGGGUCAGGUGGAGCUAGUAGUGCAACCGACCAUCU